UACGGGGGGGUGCGAGCGUUGUCCGGAAUCACUGGGCGUAAAGGGCGCGUAGGUGGUUUGAUAAGGGUGUGGUGAAAGUCCGGGGCUCAACCCCGGAUCUGCCGUGCCGACUGUCAAACUCGAGGACUGUAGAGGCAGACGGAAUUCCGGGUGUAGCGGUGGAAUGCGUAGAGAUCGGGAGGAAGGCCGGUGGCGAAGGCGGC
rnacentral:rRNA from 1 species